ACCUCAUAACAUUCUUCUUGAUGAAAAUUUCACACCAAAGAUUUCAGAUUUUGGGCUUGCGAAAUUUUAUCCAACCAAGGGGAACAUGGCAUCUCUUACGGCUGCAAGGGGAACAGUAGGAUAUAUGGCACCGGAAUUAUUAUACAAAAACAUUGGACGUGUCUCACAUAAGGCAGAUGUGUAUAGUUUUGGACAGUUGGUGUUAGAAGUUGCAGAUAGAGGGAAGAAAGUAAAUGGAUUUGCUGAAAGUUUAAGUGAAGUUUAUAGUCCAUUUCGGGUUUAUGACCAACUCUCUAGUGGAAAUUUACCAAUAGAAGAGACAGCGGAAGAGGAAAAUUUAAAAGCUCGGAAAAUGAUUAUAACAGGAUUAUGGUGCGUACAGUUUCAACCUUCCGAUCGUCCAGCAAUGAACAAAGUUGUAGAGAUGCUUGAAGGAGAUAUUGAAAGCCUACAAAUGCCUCCUAGGCCUGUUCUAUUUCCUGCAGAUUCAGUGACUACAGAAUCGAAUAGCCUGGCUGAAAAUCCAAGUCAAGGGACCUUCGGAAAUAUUCUGCUCAGUGUGACGGGGGAAGGCUAACAUACCACUCAUUAAAAGAGCAGUCUUCCAUUUCAAAUGAUGGAACAAUAAUCUUCUUCCUCUUGUAUCCUUUAAAAUUGCUCUAAACACUAGAGUUAAUUGAUGAAUUGAUGAUAGUUUGUAAUAAUUCUAUGUUUAAAUUGCAAGUGAUCGCUACUUAUAUUUGCAUCAUAUUUUAGGUUCUUCUAAACUUUAUGAUGUUUAGAGCAUUUGCAGAUGUUUCACCAUUUAUUGGUUUUGUGGCCCUUAUUUGAGUAUAUGAACAACAGAGUUUAGCAAGGAAAAACCUUAUUUGAGCUAAGCAUCUUUA
rnacentral:misc_RNA from 1 species